rnacentral:lncRNA from 1 species
GUCUUAAUAUUUCAGCUGUUACUUUUUUUUUUUUUUUCCCUCUCUUAGGGACCACGUGGCUUACCAGGUAUCAAGGGAGAACCAGGAAAGGAUGGAACAAAGGGUGACCGUGGACUGCCUGGUUUUCCUGGAUUACAUGGGAUGCCAGCACCAAAGGGCGAAAGGGGCCCCAAAGGAGACCAAGGACUGCCAGGGAUAUAUGGAAAAAAGGCAAGUAAAAUUAUAAAAUAAUGUUAUUGAUACGUGUGGUGGGGUUGUUUGUCACAUUUU